rnacentral:piRNA from 1 species
GGCAAAGGCAUACCUACUAUCCACAUGGA